CUGGAGUCUGACGACGCAUUAUAGAUUUGUGCUCUCUUUGGACCAGUGAGCUCUGAGACCUACUGCUUCACCUCUCUUUCUCUUCUUGCUGGUGAGCGGGGAUGGGUCUAUGGCUUCCCUCGGUGGUCCUUCUUCUCUGCUCCGCCGGCUUCUUGGCUCUUUCUUCUGCAGCUCCGGCGAACACCUCGGCCUCUUUCUCGUUCAAGGAGAACUUCGACAUAAUGUUCGCGGAGGAUCACUUCAGGACAUCCCCUGAUGGCCAAAUCUGGUACCUCUAUCUGGACAAGAAGACAGGUAAAACGUGUUCUUCUCCUCGAGUAUUCUCCGAUCUGAGACAGCCAUGUCUUAGCUAUCCGCAUUGUGAAACCUGGUACAGG
rnacentral:lncRNA from 1 species